AUGGUGCAAGCCGCACCCAGCUCCGCCACCGCCACCGCCACCGCCGCCCCCGUCCCCGACGCCGACCCCGCCACCCCGCCGUCCCGUCUCCUCUCGAAACAUCGCCCGCGCCGCCGUGCAGCACCCCCCCGCCCGACCUCGCCGCACCCCGCGCCCACGCGCGGCCUGCCCGAUCUGAACCGCUGCCACUGCUGCUCCGUUCGCUUCCAGCAGCCGGCGCCGGGCGCCAAGCGACGUCCACUCCGUCCCCUCCGCUCCCUCUGGCGCGUCGUCCUCCUCUGCUCUGAAUGUAUCUCCCUCCUUCGCUCUGGCGCUGUCUGCUCCUACUGCCUCAACCUCGACAACCUGCCGCACGAUGACUCGGUCACCUGCCGCAGCUGCAACUGCUGCGUCCACCACCACUGCAUCCCCGCUGAGCACCGUACUGCCCUGAUCCGGCCUGUAGAUUUGGAGAAUUUCGUCUGCGUCGAUUGCUGCCCCACAGUGAAGGUGGGUAGCAAGAAUGAGGGCGCCGAAUCCGUUCCUAAGCUGGAGUUGGUCAUCAGAGAGCCUAGUCCUGCAGUGCGGAGGAAGGGGGGGCCUGUCGCUGCUGCUAAGUUGAAUUCGCCGAGGAAGGUUGUGGAGGAGGUGAGGCCAGCUUGGAAGGAUGCGAUGGCCCUCGUUCCUGUAGGCGAGGGGUCAGAGAGCAAGGGUCCCGGUGAUCUGGACCUGCCAGAUGAGGCAUUGGCGCUGCAGCUUCAUUUGGCGAUCAACGGAUCACCGAGGAUUUCACGUUCUGGCAGUGCACCUGUGGCUGUCUUGGCAGGGCAGGGCAAUAGACAGGGCAAGAGGCAGAACGGAUUGGUUUAUGGGAGGAAGGUUGAUGAGGAUCUGGGACUUUGUGUAACCAAUAUGAUGGAUCAUCUGGACUAUCUCGAGACCGGAGCAGAGAUGGGAAGCAACUGGAAUGCUAGUCAGGCUUUAGGAUCUGAGGCUUUAGGAUCUGAUCCCACAGUCCCUGUGGUUCUUGCACUGGAGUGUAAAGGUAAACGCCCUCAGGAGAGUCCCAGAGGUAAAAGGAAAGGUCUUCCUGAGACUAAACAACAUAAUAGUUUGGUGGAUUGGCAUAAGGUGGAUCGGUAUGAGAAGAAAUAUAGCAAGAGGAAGUCAAGUAAGCAGACAGAUGUUGAAAGCAAUGGAAACAAGACCUUGCCCAAUGGAAAGGACAUGCAUGUUGGUGAAGGUGGUGAGGGCAUAACUCCUAUGACAUAG
rnacentral:rRNA from 1 species